GCGCCGAUAGUCUAGUGGUUAGGAUGCGGGCUUCCCAAGCCUGCGACCCGGGUUCAAAUCCCGGUCGGCGCA
rnacentral:tRNA from 1 species